GUUGAUCUUGGGUUGAUCUUGACUUUGGUCAUGGGUUGGUCUUGACUUUGGGUUGAUCUUCGGUUGGUCUUGACCUUGGUUUGGUUUACACCACGACUUGUCUUGACUUUGGGUUGAUUUUGGCCGUGGGUUGGUCUUGACUUUGGGUUGGUCUUGACUUUAGGUUGGUUGGUUUUGACUUUGGGUUGGUCUUGACUUUGGCCAUGGGUUGGUCUUGACCUUGGGUUGGUCUGAACUUUGACAUUGUCUUGACCGUUGGUUGGCCUUGACUUUGAGUUGA